rnacentral:rRNA from 1 species
GACGAACGCUGGCGGCGUGCCUAAUACAUGCAAGUCGAACGCAUUUUCUUUCACCGUAGCUUGCUACACCGAAAGAAAAUGAGUGGCGAACGGGUGAGUAACACGUUGGUAACCUGCCCAUCAUCGGGGGAUAACACUUGGAAACAGGUGCUAAUACCGCAUAAUUCCAUUUACCGCAUGGUAAAUGGAUGAAUGGCGCUUUUGCGUCACUGAUGGAUGGACCCGCGGUGCAUUAGCUAGUUGGUGGGGUAACGGCCUACCAAGGCUGCGAUGCAUAGCCGACCGGGGAUGGUGGUCGGCCAGACUGGGAGGGAGACACGGCCCAGACGGCUACGGGAGGCAGCAGUAGGGAAUCUUCGGCAAAGGACGGAAGACUGACCGAGAAACGCCGCGUGAGUGAAGAAGGGUUUCGGAUCGUAAAACUCUGUUGUUAGGGAAGAACAAGGAUGAGAGUGGAAAGUUCAUCCCUUGACGGUAUCUAACCAGAAAGCCACGGCUAACUACGUG